CCUACGGGAGGCAGCAGUGGGGAAUAUUGGACAAUGGGCGCAAGCCUGAUCCAGCCAUACCGCGUGGGUGAAGAAGGCCUUCGGGUUGUAAAGCCCUUUUGUUGGGAAAGAAAAGCAUUCGGUUAAUGCCCGAUUGUUCUGACGGUACCCAAAGAAUAAGCACCGGCUAACUUCGUGCCAGCAGCCGCGGUAAU
rnacentral:rRNA from 1 species